AACAGUUACAACAAGAUAUCCAUCUACAGCCCCCGUGGACAUUGGCACAGAUGAUGGAAGCAACCCACCUAUGCCUCUGAACAACUUCUGGUUAGUUAACAGCUGAAGAAAUACUGCUCUCACAGAGGCAGCAAACAAUCCACGCCGCCAGAGCGUGCCUGACGCCCUGCAGUGACUCCCCAGCCACAGUCCAUCCCUUAUUCCAUUAGUCCUGCUGACACACGCAAGAGAAACUGGUUGUUUUAGCCUGCACUAUUACUCCUAAGUGAAUGCAAGCUAUUCUGUUGAACUCUGGGCAAUUUAGAUACAGUAAAUGGAAGCUUGUACAUGAUUACUGUCAUUAGAUUCUUUGCUUAAUUCUAAAUUGAAGUUUAUUAUAUCCGUACUGUUAGCGGGUAUGCUGGCUUGACUGCUGUACACAAAGAUUUUCAUUUCUUUCUUUAAUCUAGGGGAGGAGACAGCCCAUGCUUCAGAAGUUGCCAAGGGCAUCUCUGCCUAAAUCCUACAGACUUCUACUGCGCCUUCUGAAAUCCUUUUGCUUUGGCUUGGUUGGACGCAAAAGAAGGAACCAGCUUCUGAACAUCGGGAAGAAUGAAAACAUCUCAUCAAUGGAAAUGAAGCGAAGAUCACAUGAUGGUAUUAUGCACUGAUUACAAGUGUGUGAUCUCAAAAAUGGGAUUUUAUUAAUGAAAAGAUUCUGGCCAUGUUGGGAAUGACUGCCCUGGGCACUCACUUCUGCAACCUGUGGCUGACAGAAGGGCAAAUGGAGCUCAGUACCAGCCCUGUUGCAGUGACUGCGUGGCAUAUGAGAGUUUCAGUUCAUUGAAUUUACAACGCGAAAUUCCAACUCUGAUCGUGAACACCUUCCCUCUCAUCUGAAAAUUAAUUCACACGAAUUCCUGAUUAAUAAUAAAAGGCCCUGCCAUCAGCAUUCAGAGCCCCAGCCGGGGCUGUCAUGGCUCAGAGGGCAGAAAUCUGCUUAGAGCUACAGGAGAACCCAACUGAAUUUGUGGCGUCUCAGUCUAUGAAUGUGUAAGCACUUCAUCUGUUCACCAAAACACAAUGUGCUGGAAAGCAGCGGGCAAAAGUAGCUGUACGUACUGUUGACCAAGAGCAGGGCUAGGUGGCAGUAUGCAAGCACUGAAACCAGCACGAUAAAGCUGGUACUGCUACAUUUGCUGAACACAGAACUGUCCGCUUCACGUGUUUUCUUUUACCAAGAAAAUCAUCAGGCCAUUCACAUUUUAUGUAUUUGUCUUUUUCUUGAGGAUUCUGGCAAUAUCUCUAUUAUCUCCCUGUGAGGAAAUGG